rnacentral:rRNA from 1 species
UUACUGAGUUUACGCUCUAUAACCCUUUGUGAACAUACCUAUAACUGUUGCUUCGGCGGGUAGGGUCUCCGCGACCCUCCCGGCCUCCCGCCUCCGGGCGGGUCGGCGCCCGCCGGAGGAUAACCAAACUCUGAUUUAACGACGUUUCUUCUGAGUGGUACAAGCAAAUAAUCAAAACUUUUAACAACGGAUCUCUUGGUUCUGGCAUCGAUGAAGAACGCAGCGAAAUGCGAUAAGUAAUGUGAAUUGCAGAAUUCAGUGAAUCAUCGAAUCUUUGAACGCACAUUGCGCCCGCCAGCAUUCUGGCGGGCAUGCCUGUUCGAGCGUCAUUUCAACCCUCAAGCUCUGCUUGGUGUUGGGGCCCUACAGCUGAUGUAGGCCCUCAAAGGUAGUGGCGGACCCUCCCGGAGCCUCCUUUGCGUAGUAACUUUACGUCUCGCACUGGGAUCCGGAGGGACUCUUGCCGUAAAACCCCCCAAUUUUCCAAAGGUUGACCUCGGAUCAGGUAGGAAUACCCGCUGAACUUAAGCAUAUCAAUAA